ACUUUGAGACAAGGUCCUA
rnacentral:snRNA from 1 species